rnacentral:rRNA from 1 species
AUUGAACGCUGGCGGCAGGCCUAACACAUGCAAGUCGAGCGGAUGAAGGGGGCUUGCUCCUGGAUUCAGCGGCGGACGGGUGAGUAAUGCCUAGGAAUCUGCCCGGUAGUGGGGGAUAACGUCCGGAAACGGGCGCUAAUACCGCAUACGUCCUGAGGGAGAAAGUGGGGGAUCUUCGGACCUCACGCUAUCAGAUGAGCCUAGGUCGGAUUAGCUAGUUGGUGGGGUAAAGGCCUACCAAGGCGACGAUCCGUAACUGGUCUGAGAGGAUGAUCAGUCACACUGGAACUGAGACACGGUCCAGACUCCUACGGGAGGCAGCAGUGGGGAAUAUUGGACAAUGGGCGAAAGCCUGAUCCAGCCAUGCCGCGUGUGUGAAGAAGGUCUUCGGAUUGUAAAGCACUUUAAGUUGGGAGGAAGGGCAGUAAGUUAAUACCUUGCUGUUUUGACGUUACCAACAGAAUAAGCACCGGCUAACUUCGUG